CAUUUGGAAACGAAUGCUAACACCCCAUAUGCCUUUAAGACAAAAGUCUGCAAGGGAAAUAUUUAUAGCUCUAGGAUCGGCCUGUACGGUAUCAGUUUGUUGGUGAGGUAAUGGCUCACCAAGACUAUGACGCCUAACUGGUUUGAGAGGAUGAUCAGUCACACUGGAACUGAGACACGGUCCAGACUCCUACGGGAGGCAGCAGUGGGGAAUAUUGCACAAUGGGGGAAACCCUGAUGCAGCAACGCCGCGUGGAGGAUGACACAUUUCGGUGCGUAAACUCCUUUUAUAUAGGAAGAUAAUGACGGUACUAUAUGAAUAAGCACCGGCUAACUCCGUGCCAGCAGCCGCGGUAAUACGGAGGGUGCAAGCGUUACUCGGAAUCACUGGGCGUAAAGAGCGUGUAGGCGGAUAGUUAAGUUUGAAGUGAAAUCCAAUGGCUCAACCAUUGAACUGCUUUGAAAACUGAUUAUCUAGAAUAUGGGAGAGGUAGAUGGAAUUUCUGGUGUAGGGGUAAAAUCCGUAGAGAUCAGAAGGAAUACCGAUUGCGAAGGCGAUCUACUGAACAUUAUUGACGCUGAGACGCGAAAGCGUGGGGAGCAAACAGGAUUAGAUACCCUGGUAGUCCACGCCCUAAACGAUGUACACUA
rnacentral:rRNA from 1 species